rnacentral:misc_RNA from 1 species
AAGGAAACCAAAAACCAAACUAGAAUAUUUAUGGACAUUACAAGCAUCAGCAAACUCAAAUUCAUUUUAGACAAAUACAUGAUCAACUAAACAAGUUUUCAAACCUUGGAGGCAAAGCAGAGGCCUUCUUUGGCGAGCUGAUCCAAGGACUCGACCGACGGUUGGGCUCGUGCAAGUUUGGCAAUGGCCUUGUAUUCGUCUGGAGUUCCACCCUCCAAGAAAGCUCCAACUACCUUUCCAUCUUUGACCCAGUAGGUUCCGAACUUGGGUUGUGCAGAUUCCGGGUUGUUGUCUCCGAAUAGGAUGGUUUCGCCGACGUUGUCGCCGUAGAAUUGCCAUCCCAGGUCGAAUGACCGGG